rnacentral:tRNA from 1 species
CAAGGGUUAGUUUAUUAAAAUAUUGAUUUUGGGGAUCAGUGAUAGAAAAUUUUCUACCCUUGA